CCUUACUCUGUCUGACAAUGCUCUGGCUGAUCUCAAAUGACCUAUCAAAUUUGUCCCACCUGAAUCAUCUGGAGCAGGUCACCAUUCUCAACAAUCCCUUGCCUUGACCCUAUUCAGCCCACAGAUGAAUCAGGAGCCCCAAUUGGGCCACCUCUUGGGUUUGACUAUAGACCUUAUGUCAUCAACUGGUGCCUUAAUUUAAAGGUUCUAGAUGGAUACAAGGUGACACCAAAAGAGAGCCUGAAAGCAGAGUGGCUGUACUCGCAGGGCAAAGGGCGUGGGUUCCAGGUUGGAGAACAUGCAGCACUUGUCCACUACCUCUCAGGUGUAUGUCUGGCCGGAGGGGGCUGGGGAGGAGCAGAUCUCCCAGACGAUGACGACAAGUUGGCUAAGAUUCUCCAGCUGGCUAAGCAGCACCAGC